ACUAGCCUACCUGGUUAAAUAAAGGUGUUCUCAACUAGCCUACCUGGUUAAAUAAAGGUGUUCUCAACUAGCCUACCUGGUUAAAUAAAGGUGUUCUCAACUGGCCUACCUGGUUAUAUAAAGGUGCUCUCAACUGGCCUACCUGGUUAAAUAAAGGUGUUCUCAACUAGCCUACCUGGUUAAAUAAAGGUGUUCUCAACUGGCCUACCUGGUUAAAUAAAGGUGUUCUCAACUAGCCUACCUGGUGAAAUAAAGGUGUUCUCAACUGGCCUACCUGGUUAAAUAAAGGUGUUCUCAACUAGCCUACCUGGUUAAAUAAAGGUGUUCUCAACUAGCCUACCUGGUUAAAUAAAGGUGUUCUCAACUGGCCUACCUGGUUAAAUACAGGUGCUCUCAACUGGCCUACCUGGUUAAAUAAAGGUGUUCUCAACUAGCCUACCUGGUUAAAUAAAGGUGUUCUCAACUGGCCUACCUGGUUAAAUACAGGUGUUCUCAACUAGCCUACCUGGUUAAAUAAAGGUGUUCUCAACUAGCCUACCUGGUUAAAUAAAGGUGUUCUCAACUAGCCUACCUGGUUAAAUAAAGGUGUUCUCAA